rnacentral:rRNA from 1 species
AUUGAACGCUGGCGGCAUGCUUUACACAUGCAAGUCGGACGGCAGCACAGAGAAGCUUGCUUCUUGGGUGGCGAGUGGCGAACGGGUGAGUAAUAUAUCGGAACGUACCGAGUAAUGGGGGAUAACUAAUCGAAAGAUUAGCUAAUACCGCAUAUUCUCUGAGGAGGAAAGCAGGGGACCUUCGGGCCUUGCGUUAUUCGAGCGGCCGAUAUCUGAUUAGCUAGUUGGUGGGGUAAAGGCCUACCAAGGCGACGAUCAGUAGCGGGUCUGAGAGGAGAUCCGCCACACUGGGACUGAGACACGGCCCAGACUCCUACGGGAGGCAGCAGUGGGGAAUUUUGGACAAUGGGCGCAAGCCUGAUCCAGCCAUGCCGCGUGUCUGAAGAAGGCCUUCGGGUUGUAAAGGACUUUUGUCAGGGAAGAAAAGGCUGUUGCUAAUACCGACAGCUGAUGAC